GUCUUCCUCUUCCGGCCGGAUUGGCUAAGCCCCAACUGGCCCGGCCCGAUUGGCUGGGCUAGGGGCCGAGCCCUGAUUGGCUGCCGAGGCUGACCCCGCCUUUCCGCGCCCUAGAUGGUUCAGGUCACCUGUGCGACGUUGAGGGCGAAGCGGGACUGGAGGAAGAGAUACGGGAGGGUGACAGGAAUAUGGCUUUACUGGGAGAUAGGGGCGUUCUGGUCCCUCGGAGCCUAGUCUCGUCUCUGUUCGCUAAGCUUCAGGAAAGGGAACAGAAAUGCGCCCUGAGGUGGCUAGACUUGCCCAGGCCUUGCCAGGACCUGUCAGUAUCUGCCCAGGUGUAGGAGACAUCCGACCUCUGAUCCCUGGGAUAAGACGGGCAAAGAAGCCGUUCAGGGGAUUUCCCUGGUGUCGCAGAGGUUAAGAAUCUACCUGCCAAUGCAGGGGACACGGGUUCGAGCCCUGGUCCGGGAAGAUCCCACCUGCCGCGGAGCAACUAUGCCUGUGCGCCAUAACUACUGAGCCUGCGCUCUGGAGCCUGCGAGCCACAACUACUCAGCCCACGUGGCACAACUACUGAGCCCGCUCGCCUAGAGCCCGUGCUCCGCAACAAGAGAAGCCACCGCAAUGAGAAGCCCACGCACCGCAACGAAGGGUAGCCCCUGCUCGCAGCAACUCAAGAAAGCCCGCGUGCAGCAACAAAGACCCAACACAGCCAAUAAUUAAUUAAUUAAUAAUUAUAAAAAAGCUGUUCAGUAUUUUGAAACUUUGCCAUACAGAAACAGGCAGCAGGCCAGAUCUGGACCAUGAGCUGUAGUUUGCCAUCCCUGCUCUACCCUGACAUAAAACAUCCUUACUUUUCCAAUGAAGUCACCCUGAGGACAGAGGAACAUGAACAACAAUUGCUUCUCUCUCUCUGGAGUCCAGUGAUUCUCCCUUAAUGACGCCCAAGCCUCCAGCAUGAACUGUUUGCAUGUUUUUCUGUUUACGGCACAUCACAGUGGAGUCCCAAGUCACAGUCAACAGCCAAGGUGAGACCCCCUAGUGCUGGGCUCAUUGACUCAGCCUUUAAUUUUCAUGUACUGCUCUGACUCAAAUGACACAAACCCAUAUAAGUGUAAAACGCAUGGCAUCAUUCCACCGUGUUAGUUUCAAUCUCGAUGCCUCCAGUAAUUUAAUACUCAGUCAAAAAGAACCUGGUGCAUUUUGCUUCCCAUUCUGUUUUAUUCCAGUACUUUAGUUUUAGAACCUCAUUUGGGUUUUUUAAAAGCAAAGCUUCCUACAAGCCUAGUAAAUGCACAAGCACAGGUUUCAUUACUUCUAUUUUGUCAAAUGUAGCAUUCAGAUUCUCUCCAAUUUUGUAUCAAAUGAUGAAACACAGCUAAACUGGACCCAGUCCUUGCUAGCAUGUUAACAGAUUUUGUUCAAAAGUCUGCCAUGUCCUUCCUGUUGCAUAAAUGAUCACCAGUCCUGAGACCACUGCAUGUUCCAAGGCUCUCAAACGGUACUAAAUUUAUUACUUCCAGUGGAAUGUGUAAAUUGGCCUGGCCUUUCCACCCAUACCCCAUGCCCCCCCGUAGCAAAGUCUGUCUCUCAUACCCGUUGUAAAUAUUUCUUCCCGUAAGUAUGGAAGAACUUUUGCCACACCCCCCACAACAAAUGUCAUGCUAUGUUCAUACUUAGAGCAAACCAAUGCCAAAAAAAGGAGCAAGAUACCAAAUUUGUUUUAACUUUUUAUUAAAACGCUUAGGAUACAGAUUGACUUUCUUUUGUAAAUGACUGUUUUACUUUUCCUGAAAUAGGACAUAUAUGCACUCUGAUAAAACAGAAUGAAAAGUCUCAAUUCAUGGGAGUUCCAGUACAAAGCUCUGACCCUAACUGUCGAGCCAAGUUCCUCACAGCGGCUUCUUUCCUCUAUAUUAUUUCUGUGGGACAAGAAAUAGACUGCUGCCACUUGAUUUUUCAAUCCCGACUCUUUCUCCAGUGGCCAAAAUAAACCACCUUCACAAAGAGCUGCCCUGUGUAGAAUCCAGUUUUCUAGCUUGCUAAAAAGUGAUUAGGGACAAAUAUAAAAAAAAAACACCAAAAACCAGAAAACUAACACUGAAGCAAUCAUACCUCUCGUAUCUCUGGAGAGAGAAGUAUGGGUUACCUUUAGCCAAAGAAAAUUAGAAGUAUGCAAGUUAACUACCUAGUUCAUUCACUGUUAGCUAGAUUUGUUCACUUAAGGCUUUAACCCCUUUCCAAACCAGCUAUGCUUGCUAAUAAAUGAAAGGCAUGCUCUUCCCAGCCUUAUACUUCACUGAGCCUCUGCAUUUGGUACCUAGCAGUGAAAAAGCAUGCUUUCCCAACAGAUGAGUACUGAAGAAUGGGAAACAUUCUUCAGUACUCACCUGGGAAAUCCAACUAAAGAACGAUACUCUCUCACCCCAGGAAUACAUUAUCCACACCUUCCCCGCCCUCAUAUUAGAAGCAACAAUCCACUGAAUUUAGUUCAGGCCUCUGCAAAUACACCUCAGAAUUACAAUUUUCAGUUUUGAGGAAAAUACCUCUUAUCUUUCAUUAAAGGAAAAAUGAAUGAAGAUAUCCUCCCACAUGGAGACCAUCUCCUAUCCCUUCAUCCUUUAUUACAAGGGUAAAAUAUUGGUUAAGAUCAUGAUAAUCCAAUUUCACACGUGGCAUUAGGAAAAUGGAAUGCUAUAAAAAUAAUCCUCAUCACACUACUGGGGAUGCUGAGGCUUUUAUACCAGGUGCUUACUGACAAGUGAUGCUGGCCCAAAAGAACAGCUCAACACAAAGUUCUUGGCUUAGAGUUUCCCCAGAUUAUUUCUGGACUGGAGAAAGGCAAUUUCCUAACACCCCCCCACCCCACCCCAAAAAAUCUGGAAAAGCUACAGAUGUUAACCUUUAACAUCAAAAAUAAGUUGAUAACCAAUUUAAAAAAAUAGAGCUCAUGAAGAGUCCAAUAAAGAAACCAAAUUCUGCAAGUGGAAAUUUUAAAGCCCAAUGAAUGAAUCUUUCCUAGAUUCAAACAAAUGCUACAAUACCAGAUUUUUAAGUUCUCAACUCACAGAAUUAAGAGCCCUUAAGCUGUUAACUUCAUCCUGUGUGACUCUCCUAUUCAGAAAAAUUUCCCCUAGAAUCUGCAAAAAUGGCUGAGACACACCUGCAGUGUGUGACAACAAGGGAUGUGUUCUCAAGUCUUUCAUGAGGCAAAAGUCACUUUUACGACUGAAAAUGAAAAAGGUGCUACAGAGGGAUAUGAAAUUUCACAACUACAUAAAAGUAAAGACUGGCUAAAAUUUGUAACUUUAUGAGUAAAAAUAAUAACAACCCACUCUACAAUUAACUCCUCCGCAGUGAACAAUCUGCUAUGCAUGCUGGGAUGAGGAAUGACGGUAGCCUGAGACUGUGGGAACUGGCCUUAACUGCACGGCCGGGGUUCUGCCCUUUCCUAGUGCUCUGUGCACAAGGUGGUGCCACCUACUACAAGGCAGUUAGUGAGAGGGGAGCCUCUCUCACCAGCCUGCUGUUCAUUUGACUGAGCUCUGGCCUCCAACGUGUAUCUGUGCAUAAUUUUAUGAAGUAUCUAAAUGCCAUUCACUAGUUAAAAAAAAAAAAAGCAAA